rnacentral:tRNA from 1 species
GGUGUGGUGGCCAAGGGGCAGGGCAUCGGUCUUAUAAACCAAAGAUCAUAGGUUCAGAUCCCAUGCAUGCCU